AGGUCCUACCCAAGAAGAGAAUACUCCUGAAUCCUUCAGUUAGCCCUCAGGUAGAUUCAUGAGUCCCAGGGCCUGACCCUACCAGUUUCUCCUUUGUGCAGUAAGCUGGGAAGUUCUUUGAUAAGAUGUCUGCAUACUGCAUCAGCACCUUCCCAAUGGUCUGAGAAAAGAGGAAAAAAGGAAAGAAGAUGGAACUUUUAGCUUUCCACACAGGACUCUUGUAACUCUGAGUUACACUUCUUCUCCCAGGACAACAACAGGGAGGGCCCCAUGCAGGAAUUCCAGGGAUACAUCCUCAUUCUCAUCCAGCCAUUGAAGCACAAACUGCUCAAACCACCUGCAGCCAGAGUAGGAGAACUAGAGUUUGGAAAACUGGCAUAUGCCUUGUACCUGAC